CAAAUUAAAAUAAUAUUUUAUUUACAAUAAAAUUAUAGUUAUUUAAUUAGCUUAAUUUGA
rnacentral:tRNA from 1 species